CCUACGGGUAGCAGCAGUGAGGAAUAUUGGUCAAUGGGCUUACGCCUGACCCAGCCAAGUCGCGUGAGGGAAGACUGCCCUAUGGGUUGUAAACCUCUUUUGUCAGGGAGCAACGCCGGCUACGUGUAGCCGGACUGAGAGUACCUGAAGAAAAAGCAUAGGCUAACUCCGUGCCAGCAGCCGCGGAAAUACGGAGGAUGCGAGCGUUAUCCGGAUUUAUUGGGUUUAAAGGGGUCGUAGGCGGAAUGCCAAGUCAGCGGGAAAAUCGCGGGGCUCAACCUCGCUCCGCCGUUGAAACUGGCGUUCUUGAGUGGGCGAGAAGUAUGCGGAAUGCGUGGUGUAGCGGUGAAAUGCAUAGAUAUCACGCAGAACUACGAUUGCGAAGGCAGCAUACCGGCGCCCAACUGACGCUGAAGCACGAAAGCGUGGGUAUCGAACAGGAUUAGAUACCCCAGUAGUC
rnacentral:rRNA from 1 species